GGGUGAGAUAACACGUAGGCAACCUGCCCUCAAGACUGGGAUAACUACCGGAAACGGUAGCUAAUACCGGAUAAUUUAUUUUGCAGCAUUGUGAAAUAAUGAAAGGCGGAGCAAUCUGUCACUUGAGGAUGGGCCUGCGGCGCAUUAGCUAGUUGGUGGGGUAACGGCCCACCAAGGCGACGAUGCGUACCCGACCUGAGAGGGUGAACGGCCACACUGGGACUGAGACACGGCCCACACUCCUACGGGAGGCAGCAGUAGGGAAUCUUCCGCAGUGGGCGAAAGCCUGACGGAGCAACGCCGCGUGAGUGAUGAAGGUUUUCGGAUCGUAAAGCUCUGUUGCCAAGGAAAAACGUCUUCUAGAGUAACUGCUAAGAGAGUGACGGUACUUGAAAAGAAAGCCCCGGCUAACUACGUGCCAGCAGCCGCGGUAAUACGUAGGGGGCAAGCGUUGUCCGGAAUUAUUGGGCGUAAAGCGCGCGCAGGCGGUUCUUUAAGUCUGGUGUUUAAACCCGAGGCUCAACUUCGGGUCGCACUGGAAACUGGGAGAACUUGAGUGCAAAAGAAGAGAGUGGAAUUCCACGUGUAGCGGGUGAAAAUGCGUAUAUAUGUGAGAGAGAACAC
rnacentral:rRNA from 1 species